rnacentral:misc_RNA from 1 species
GAUGAAGAACGUAGUGAAAUGCGAUACUUGGUGUGAAUUGCAGAAUCCCGUGAACCAUCGAGUCUUUGAACGCAAGUUGCGCCCGAAGCCACUAGGCCGAGGGCACGCCUGCCUGGGCGUCACACGCCGUUGCCCCCCCAUCUACUCCUUCGGGGUUGCGGGGGGGCGGAUGAUGGCCUCCCGUGCGCCUAGCCGCGCGGUUGGCAUAAAUACCAAGUCCUCGGCGACGCACGCCACGACAAUCGGUGGUUGCGAAACCUCGGUUGCCCGUCGUGUGCGUUCGUCGCGCAUCGAGGGCUCGAAAAAAUGCUCGGCUCCGGCUGGGCUUUCAACGCGACCCCAGGUCAGGCGGGGUUACCCGCUGAAUUUAAGCAUAUCAAUAAGCGGAGGA